CCGCGCGCCGCGCACGAGCGCGCCCACGCACGCACGCACACGCGCGCGUUCACGUGUCCCCGCCCGCUCGCCCUCUAGCGGUGGCGGAGGGCAGGGCGGCGGGUUGCUAAGCGACUUGGUACUGGUCGGGAAAGGAGCCUCAUGUGUCCGAGGGUGCCCUGAGGACCCCAUUCCUCGGCCCCAGUCGCCUCUGCCGUCGCAGGCUGUCCCACUCCCCACAACGCCUCAUCCUCCUGAUGACUGAGAAUUCGCUUUUUCAUGCGUGCCUUCAUUCAGUGUUGAGUUGUUCAUUCGCUCUUUAAAUAUUUAUUGAGUGUCCCUAUAUGUCAGACAUGGCCCUAAGCGCCAGGGACACAACACAGACAGAAAUUCGUCCCCGUCCUCACGGAGUUUGCAUUUUUGUGAGGGAAAUAUUGGAUUCAUCCUUGUGAGGGAAACAUACGUGAAGAAGAUCCAGUUUCUGUUCUCCAAAAAGAUGUGCGUAUGGCAGGGGGAAGAAAGGUAGAAGACAAACUCAUGCCUGUAAACCGUGACCAGCGACACAGGAACACCAGUAGCAGCGGUUGGUCCUAUUUUGCAGAAGAGGAAAAUGAACCACAGGAAUCUGGACCAGAGACAGUAGCUUCUGGGCCAAGAGGGGUUGUUUGAGGCUCCGCUUUUCUAUAAACUGGACACAGCCCAAAGGGAUGGGUGAAGGCAGUGUGCCUGAUGAAUUCAGCCAUCAAUAAUUCAGGCCACAGCAUCUGCCUGGCAACCAGGCCCCGCGCCUCCGAGUCUCCUUGUCUGAGAGCACAGGAAAGGAAAUUGGAG